GACGAACGCUGGCGGCGUGCCUAAUACAUGCAAGUCGAGCGAAUCAAAGGGAGCUUGCUCCCUGAGGUUAGCGGCGGACGGGUGAGUAACGCGUGGGCAACCUGCCUAUAAGACUGGGAUAACUUCGGGAAACCGGAGCUAAUACCGGAUAAUUCUUAUCAACUCAUGUUGGUAAGCUGAAAGAUGGUUUACGCUAUCACUUAUAGAUGGGCCCGCGGCGCAUUAGCUAGUUGGUGAGGUAACGGCUCACCAAGGCGACGAUGCGUAGCCGACCUGAGAGGGUGAUCGGCCACACUGGGACUGAGACACGGCCCAGACUCCUACGGGAGGCAGCAGUAGGGAAUCUUCCGAGAUGGACGAAAGUCUGACGGAGCAACGCCGCGUGAGUGAUGAAGGUUUUCGGAUCGUAAAACUCUGUUGUUAGGGAAGAACAAGUACUAGAGUAACCGCUAGUACCUUGACGGUACCUAACCAGAAAGCCACGGCUAACUACGUGCCAGCAGCCGCCGUAAUAC
rnacentral:rRNA from 1 species